rnacentral:rRNA from 1 species
AUUGAACGCUGGCGGCAGGCCUAACACAUGCAAGUCGAACGAGUGGCGGACGGGUGAGUAAUGUCUGGGAAACUGCCCGAUGGAGGGGGAUAACUACUGGAAACGGUAGCUAAUACCGCAUACCAUCGGAUGUGCCCAGAUGGGAUUAGCUAGUAGGUGGGGUAACGGCUUACCAAGGCAACGAUGCAUAGCCGACCUGAGAGGGUGAUCAGCCACACUGGAACUGAGAAACGGUCCAGACUCCUACGGGAGGCAGCAGUAGGGAAUCUUCCGCAAUGGGCGCAAGCCUGAUGCAGCCAUGCCGCGUGUAUGAAGAAGGCCUUCGGGUUGUAAAGUACUUUCAGCGAGGAGGCGUUACUCGCAGAAGAAGCACCGGCUAACUCCGUGCCAGCAGCCGCGGUAAUUC